UUUACAACAUUAAAAUGAACAAAGUUUGUUGCCAGUCGCCGCGAAAAAAACGGAAAGGAGGCAAUUAUAAUGUAAUCGUUGCACCAAUGGGAACAAGAUACCCACGUAAAUGAACCUAUAACCGGGUGUGCCACGAUAAUCAGUCGCGCAGCAGGUAUUUGAGGUAUUAAAUCGCUUAAAUCUACCUUACCCUACCUAAAGAGCCAUCUGGGUGGCGGUAGGGGGCGAUUGAAAGGGUAUUUUAAGUAGGCCGAUGCAAUAACAUUUGGAUCGUUCACUCGCUGUUCGCGCUUUAGAAAGUUUGGCGUGAAACUAGGCUCAGGGGUCUCGAACAUGCCUGUUACUCGGGCGAGGAAGGACGACAUGGAACUGACUCACUUGGAUGGUGUGGGCGUGGUCUCGCCCGUGGCCGCUUCUUAGCCUAUCCUUCGGGAUAGCCUCGAUAAGUGCGCCGAGGGUAUGGCUGACGUGCGCCGCUGAGCCGAAACCUGGCCUGGGUGUGAAACUGUUGGCCUCUUGGGUCAGAGAGCUGGUCCCUUCGUUGCCGGAACCGUGGGUUUUUAUUUAUUUAUCGUCUUAUCUUUAUUUGUUCGUCCCGUGUCGCAUUCGUGCAGCUGAAAAAAUGGUUUGCGGCACUAAAACUUCCAACCACAGGCACCAAGGCCGAGUUAACGGCGCGCCUCAACGCAAUUUCGUCAGAAGUGCGAGGCAUGGCGCCACCUGCCAACGCUGAUCAAGC